rnacentral:rRNA from 1 species
GACGAACGCUGGCGGCGUGCUUAACACAUGCAAGUCGAACGGAAAGGCCCUGCUUUUGUGGGGUGCUCGAGUGGCGAACGGGUGAGUAACACGUGAGUAACCUGCCCUUGACUUUGGGAUAACUUCAGGAAACUGGGGCUAAUACCGGAUAGGAGCUCCUGCUGCAUGGUGGGGGUUGGAAAGUUUCGGCGGUUGGGGAUGGACUGGCGGCUUAUCAGCUUGUUGGUGGGGUAGUGGCUUACCAAGGCUUUGACGGGUAGCCGGCCUGAGAGGGUGACCGGCGACAUUGGGACUGAGAUACGGCGCAGACUCCUACGGGAGGCAGCAGUGGGGAAUAUUGCACAAUGGGCGGAAGCCUGAUGCAGCAACGCCGCGUGCGGGAUGACGGCCUUCGGGUUGUAAACCGCUUUCGCCUGUGACGAAGCGUGAGUGACGGUAAUGGGUAAAGAAGCACCGGCUAACUACGUG